CGCCUCUCAGGAUGGCACCUGGAGAGUUGCUAGUCCUCUACCAGUCUUGGCGACGGGAUGGAGAGUCAAGCAGAGGCCUACCCAUUCCAUUCCUAGCUUGGUCAGUGGCUAGUGAGUGGCAAGCAAUCUGCUACAAGU